UUAGCUUUGAUUGUUGGACUGGGGUGUCCAGAUGAAGGGGAGGGGAGGAUUAUAGGAAUGGGACAGAAAAAAAUCAAAUAGUUUUCUUUGACAAAACUUCAAAUACUAUGGGACUAGACUGAGGAAAUGUUUUUAAUAAGUUUAUUUCUUGAAAUUGGAUCUUAAUUACUCUUUGGAAGAUAAUCUUUCCGAAAACAUUGUCAGUUCCUGAAUUUUAACAUAAAUUAACUAGUUAAUAGGAAUAAUAGGAGCUGGUCAUCCAUCUUUUUUUUUUUUUUUUUUUUCUGAACGGUAAGGAAUUUACCUUAAUUUACUUGUAUCAAUAUGCUUCUUGGGCAAAUAGUGACCCAUGAGUCUAGCUAAGCAAAAGGACAAUUGUACAUCUGCCCUCCUACAUUAUUUAUGGCAUUGUCCUCUUUUCUUUUUUAGGGGGGAGGGAGGUGGGGGAAGCUAGUAUGUAUGAGAAAAGAAUUCAGUUUCCAUACAUACGUACAUUUGUUUUCUAUUGCAGCAAUAACAAGUUGCCAAAAACUUAGUAGUUUAAAACAACACAAAUUUAUCAUCUCACACUUACGUAAAUCAGAAGACCCGGUGGGUUAGCCCAGUUCCUCUGCUGUAGUCUUCACAAGCCCAAGAUCAAGGUGUUAGGCUCUGGGGGCAAAUCUGCUUCCAAGCUCAUUCAGAUUGUUAACAGAAUUCAGUUGCUUAUAUUUGUAGGUCUGAGGUCCCAUUCCUUGCUGCUGUCAGCUGGGAUCCUCUCUCAGUUGCUUCAAGUGUCAUCCAGUCCUCCAUCUUCAGACCGGCAAUGGUGUGUGGAAUCCUUAUGCUUCAAAUAUCUCUGACUUCACUUUCCUCCACAUCUGUCCUACCUCCAGCCACAGAAAGUUUUCUGUUUUUAAGAGGCCAGGUAAUUAAGUGAGACCCACCCAGAUAUUCCAGGAUAAUUUCCUGAUAUUGAGGUCCAUAAUUUCAAUGACAUCUGCAAAGUCUCUUUGCUAUGUAACAUGUUCACAGGUUCUGGGAACAUUUUGGGGAGUCAUUCUGCUACAGUGCCAUCUAUGAAAGGUGUUUUAUAAACCCAAAAAUGUUUAGUUAAAAAUUGUUUCAUCAUAGCAGUCACUCGACUUGGCAUAGAAUAAAUAUUGACCUAGUAACUUAAAAUGGAAAAUUUGAAGUAUUUGAAAAAUACAACUCAGAUGCCAGUAGGGUCCAAGCGUAUUGGUGACUAAAACCCCCCUUCAGACUUGCAGUGGCAUACCGUUCCACUGUAUAUCAGUUCCAUGGCCACAUUUAUAAUGGUGGAUAAAGUUAACAAAACGUUUGAAACUUGUAAAUCAGAUACUUUAAAAAUACCAGAGAGCCUACUAUUUAGAUGAAUUCUUUGUUUUAUGGAUUUUUCUUUUUUUGGUUUUUUUUUGUUGUUGUUGUUGUUGUUUUUGUUUUUGUUUUGAGACAGAGGUCGCCCAGGUUGGAGUGCAGCAGCGCCAUCUCUGCUCACUGCAACCUCCGCCUCCUGGGUUCAAGCAAUUUUCCUGCCUCAGCCUCCAGAGUAGCUAGGACUACAGGCGUGCGCCACCAUGCCCAGCUAGUUUUUUUGUAUUUUUAGUAGAGGCAGGGUUUCACCAUGUUGGCCACACUGGUCUCAGUCUCCUGACCUCAUGAUCCACCUGCCUCGGCCGCCCAAAGUGCUGGGAUUACAGGCGUGAGCCACCACACCCGGUCAGAUUUUUCUUAAGAUGGGAUGUACUUAACUUUCCGUUUGUUGACUGUCAAAUUCUCUACAAGAUUAUUUGAAUUCCAAAGCAACAUUAUUGUGUAAAUGUCAGCCAGUUGGUUAAUAAAAUGUAAAGUGAGAAACUGCCAAAAUAAUCUUAAACUGUAAGAAAGGCAAAAAUAAUAAUAAAAGGACAAUGGGAUGCAUGAAAAUAAUUUUGUUUUAGUUUAUCUGGAAUGUAUUUUGGUAUAGAUGUGACAGUAACUUAAAAACAAUAAAUUAAAAAUCAACUAAUUGGCCCCACAUUAUUUGAAAUAAGUCUUUCCUCUCUAAAUUGUGAUGUCAUCCUUAAUCAUAAUACUAAAUUCUUACCCAUACGGAAUUGUUGAUUCUAGCCUUAUUACCACACUAUUUUAAUUAUUAUACUUUCACGUUAUAUUUGGAAUCUGAUUAGGCCAGUUUCCCUUUACUAUUAUUCCAAAGCUUUAUUGGCCUUCAUUUCCUUUUCUAGGAGUACUUUGUAAGGCUCGCUGAAAAAAAUUCCAUAGGUUUUUGUUUUGUUUUAAUUGUGUUAAAAUACACAUAACAUAAAAUUUACGUUUUUAACUAUACAAUCUACUGUGUUAGGUAUAUGAAAUGAUACAGUAUUUGUUUUGUGACUGGCUUAUUUCACUUAGCAUAGUCCUCAGGGUUUAUCUAUGUUGCAGCAUGUAUCAGAAUUUCCUUCCUUUUUAAGGCUGAGUAAUAUUCCACUGUGUAUGUAUAUGCCACAGAAAUCAAGCUAAUUUUCUUUUUUAUUAUUAUUAUACUUUAAGUUCUAGGGUACAUGUGCACAAUGUGCAGGUUUGUUACAUAUGU
rnacentral:lncRNA from 1 species